rnacentral:pre_miRNA from 1 species
UAUCGCGUCAAAUUGGGUGUGGUGUGUGGAAAUGCACUUCAUAUCACAGCCAUAUUUGACGAGUUCCG